UGGGUCCCAUGGACCAGGUGUUGUUCAGGCCCACUUUAAGGGAGGAUGAUGGGAAUUUAAUUGGGGGCCUGUCUGAACUGUUAACUGGUGGCUAUCUCCACGAAGCAGCAGCAGGGGUUGGAAAUGAGAAGUGAGACAGAAUGGGAUGACAGAAGAUGUGGGUUUAACAGUGAUCCUGGGUUGAGGCAAUGCUCCCCAAAGCAGACGGGGCGAGAGAAGAGCAUCAGGCUCCAGGAGACGCCAGAUGUGAGGGGGCAAGAGCCAGGACAAGGAUUCCUAUAGAAGAGAGAGGAGGUAUAGAGAGACCAGGUGACAGAAAGAGGAAACAUCUGAAGGAAGGGGGCAGGGAAAGUCACUUUGGAACUCACUUGAAUAAGCAGUUUCUGUGAAGUGAGCUGGCCAAUGGCUGUCAGGCAAAAGGAGGCUAAAAUUUUUCCACCCUGGGCCUCUGCUCAGGGUGACUCAGACCUCAGAGGAAGGUCGUCUGGAGGAGAGCUGGUCAGGCGCAAGGAGGGACAGCUAUCGGGCAGACAGGAUGGUUUGGGAGGCCCUUCAGCGGGGCCUCCUGAGAAGAGGUUUGGAGCAUGGCCUUUUCUCCAGUGAGAUGGAGGUGAGCCCUGCAUGGUGCCUUCUCACCAAACAGGUGCAAAGCCAAUGCCUGGUUGUUUGUUUGUUUGCUGACUCAUGUAGAGCAGAAACUCAGGCAAGUGGAUUACAGGGUUAAGCAAUACUCCAGAGAGCCUGCUACAUCUUUGUUAUGCUGCCUGUCUUCCUUCCCGUAUCUGAGGUUCUUAGAAGAAAAGUUCUCAGUUCUAGCUACAAGAACACUUGUGGAGGCACGACAGUUGCAGGGCCAGUUCAUUCAUCACUCCCUGGACCCUUCUCUGUAGCUCUUCUCUCCCAUUCCCCUCCACCACCUACCCUGCUUUCCAGGCACCCACCUUCUGUGGCUCCUCCACACACCUGCAAGAGGAGCCCUGGCCAGGCCUGGACCCUUUCCUUCCCCCAAAUCAUGGGAACACAUCAUAAUCCCAAUCCCACACUCUCCAAGGAUGACUCAGCAUUUCUCCUAAUUUAUGAAAUUAGGAAGUAACUAAAGAACAAAAUUAAAUACUUAAAAGGAACAAUUCAGGCAAAUAGAAAGCAGUUUGGUUCCAGGCUGGAUUACAAGUCUUGGAGGGCAGCUGGAACUUGAGGAUCCCCAGGCAGAGGGCGCAGGCAGGUAGGACCAUGUGGCUGUCCCCGGCCCUGCUCCUUCUCAUCCUCCCAGGUGGGUGGGGCUGGCCUUUCAGAACUGAAAACUAGGGGCUGGGAUAGGAAACUGAGAAGAUUUGAAGUGGGGGAAGAAGAUGUGUUGGGGAAAACGGCAGGGCCAAUUCAUUCAUGCAUGUAUUUAUUCAUAAAAAAAGAAAAUAUGUAUUUGCAACGAAUGGAUAAACAAAAUGUGGUCUACGCACACACUGAAAUAUUACUCAGCCGUAAAGAGAAAUGAAGUUCUGACACACGCUAUAACGUGGAUGAAACUUAAGAACAUUAAGCUGAGUGAAAUUUCAGUCACAAAAUGAAAAAGUGUUAUAUGAUUCCACUUACAUAAAAUAUCUAGAACAGGCAAAUGUAUAGAGACCCAAAUUUAUUAGUGGUUACCAGGAGUAGGAGGGGGAAGGAAAGGGAGAGCCACUGCUUAGGCGGGCCGAGUUUCUGUUAAGGGUAAUGGAGAAACUUGGAAGAUGGUGGUGAUGGUUACACAGCACGAUGAGUGUAACGAAUGUCACUGAAUUGUACAUGUAAAAACUGUUGACAUGGCAAAUGCUUUAUGUAUAUAUAUCCAUGAUAAAACAUAUAAGUAUACAUAAUAGGUGUGUGUGUGUGCUACCUGAUAGAUACUAAGUGAGGUGUUGGGGAAAGAAAAUAAAAUAAAUGGUAUUUGUUUUUCUAGGAUAAUGAUUCUCAAGUCUAACGGAUGGAUACAUAGAUAUAUAGAUACAGAUAGAUGAUGGAUAGAUGAUUUAUUGAUAGGUACAUAAAGAUACAUAGAUGAUAGAUUGACAGACAGAUGAUGAAUGGAUAAAAAAUAGAUUGAUAGAGAGGUAGAUACAUGAAUCCCAAGGAGUUUUUAAGGAGCACAGAUGCUUGGGCCCCAGCUCAGACCCACUCGCUCAUGGCAAGACUUAGAUGUCUGAAUAGUUUAAGAACCUCAACAACUGUUCUUAACUUGUAGCUAGACACAACUGGACUAUAUCAAAAGCAAAGAAGUUUCCUGAAUAAAUCGAACGCUUCAAAGGCCAGAGUAGCAGAGUCAGGAGUUUGGGGACCAUGGUUUCAGGGGACAUCUAGGUCAACUGGCAUAAUAAAAACUAUUAAGAAAACAUUCUGCAUCCCAUUUUGGAGAGUGGCAUUUGGGGUCUUAAAUGCUAGCAAGUGGCCAUCUAAAAUGCAAGAAUUGGUCUCAGCCCACCUAGAGCAAAGGAGAAUAAAGAACACCAAAGACACAAGGUAAGUAUGAGCCCAAGAGUCAGAAUGGGCCACAUAAAUCAAAGACUACGUCAGCCUGAAACCAGAAGAGCUAGAUGCUGCCCAGCUACAACCAAUGACUGCCAUGACAGGGAGCACGACAGAGAACCUCUGAGGGAGCAAGAGAGCAGUGGGAUGCAGAACCCAAAUUCUAGUAGAAAGACCAGACUUAAUGGCCUGACUGAGACUAGAGGGACUGCAGAAGUCAUGAUCCCCAGACCUUCUGUUAGCCCAAGACAGGAACCGUUCCCGAAGCCAACUCUUCAGAGAGGGGGUAGACUGGACUACAAUACAGAAAAUGAUACUGGUAAGGAGUGGGUUUCUUGGAUCAAGUAGACACAUGAGACCAUCUGGGCAGCUCCUGUCUGGAGGAGAGAUGCAAAAACCGAGGGGGAAAGAAGCCGGCUGAAUGGGCAUGGAAACACAGGGUGGAGAGAAAGAAUGUGCUGUCUCAUUAGGGCGAGAGCAACUAGGAGUAUAUAAAAAACCAAACCAAACCCAGUGCCGUCAAGUCGAUUCCGACUCAUAGCCACCCUAUAGGACGGAGUAGAACUGCCCCAUAGAGUUUCCAAGGAACGCCUGGCAGAUUUGAACUGCCGACCCUUUGGUUACAAGGUGUAUAUAAGGUUUUGUAUGAGAGACUGACUUGAUUUGUAAACUUUCACUUAAAGUGCAAUAAAAAUUAAAAAGAAAAACAAAAAGCUUGUAGCCAGAACUGAGAACUUUUCUUCCCAGAACCUCAGAUACAAGAAGGAAGACAGGCAGCAAAACAAGGGUAUAACAGGCUCUCUGGAGUGUUGCUUAACCCCACACAUCAGCCUGCCUGAGUUUCUGCUCUGGACGAGCCGAAGACCAGAUGGUCUCCCAGCCUAGCAAGUGCACUAACUGAGACGUGUACAAAGUGGUUUGAAGCUCUGAGGAGGGGCUGAAUUGGCCAGAGGCUUCUGUCAGUCCCCAGGGAGUUGCCAGGAGCCCUGAGCCCGACCUGGGCUGGUAUUUGGGAUUCUGUUUUCCAGGCUGCUUCUCCAUCAGUGGCCCUGUAGCAGUGCAUGGCACAGAGCGGGGGCCGGUAACUGUGUAAUGUCACUAUGACCCGGCGUGGAAGACCUACAGCAAGUGGUAGUGUGGCGGGGAGCACUGGAAAUCCUGCCAACUCCUUGUUACAACCCCAGAGUCCGAGCAGGAGGUGAGGAGGGGCCAAGUGUCCACCAGGGACAACCGUGGACACCACCACUUCACCAUAACCGUGACAGAGCUCAGGGAUGACGAUGCCAACACUUAACCAGUGUGGGGUUGAGAGAAACGGACCUAUCUUGGAUUCCAAGUGAAAGUGGCCAUUGACCCAGCAGUUCCAAGAAACACACCCAAAAUUGGGAGAACAACACCAGCACAUCUGGCUUCCCAGACUACCAACAGCAGACCGAUGCCUCUUACUAGCCCACUCACCAGAUCCCUGCUCUGCAACAUCCACUUCGUGUUCCCGACCUUUGUGAAGAUGUCCUUGCUUGGGGGCCUACUCUGUGUCACAGUGUGGCUGAGUAGGACUCAGGGACUACCUGGGAGAAACUAAGGCAGCCUGGCCAGAAGACCCGCAGCCCCCAUGCCAUUGACACCAUGUCCAGAGACGGAACCUUUAAGACUGGAUGAGCCUCCCAACCUCCCAUCAGCAUCCCUGCUGAGGGGAAAGUCACCUGGUCCUGGCCUCAGAACACACUCUAGCUCCUGCCCUGCUCAUCGCAACUCCCCAGGGCCCUGACAAGGCCUCUGUCUAUUUCAACCUCCAUCCAAGGAAGAGAUAAAGGAAAGGCUAUGGUGGUCCCUUAGACCCUGUUUCCUUGGAGACACCUGUAAUCUCACCUGUGUGGCUUCUCCCUGGUGCCCCCUUUUCUGGUGGCUCUAGGGUGGCUAUGCCAAAGAUAAUUGACUGUUAUAUUGUUCAGGGCUCUGGUCAAUAAGUCAAUACUGGGUUUCAAAUACCAGGCCUACUACAAAGUGUUAAAAAACAAAACCCUUUGCUGUCAAGUCAAUUCUGACUCAUAGCAACCCUACAGGAUGGAGUAGAACUGCCCCACAGGGGUUCCAAGGAGCAGCUGGUGGAUUCGAACUGCUGACCUUUUGGUUAGCAGCUGAACACCUAAUGACGGCACCACUAGGGCUCCAUACAAAGUACAAAACGUGGAUUAAAGCAACAAACUCCAGAAUGUGUCUCCCAUGGGCAAAGACCCUCAAUGGCCAAGUAUACAGAAAUCUUCUGAGUCCACCUUCUGUUCAUCUGUACCUGGAGAAAGGAUUGCCUGAACAUGGAUGAUUGACCAUCACUCUUGGACCAUCACUCAACUCAAGUCUUUUCUGUUUUCACUGUAUGUUUCCUUUUAAAAUCUAUGAAUUUCCUGUGCUCUUCUGAGGUUACUUUGUUGGGAUGGGACACUGUUAUGAAUUGAAUUGUGUCCUCUGAAAGAAUGUGUCAACUUGGCUAGUCCAUGAUUCCCAGUAUUGUGUGAUUGCCCACCAUUAAUUUUGUCACCUGAUGUGAUUUUCCUGUGUGUUGUAAAUCCUACUUGUAUGAUGUUAAUGAGAUGGUAUUAGCAGCAGUUAUGUUAAUGAGGCAGAACUCAAGCUACAAGAUUAGAUUGUGUCUCAAGUCAAUCUCUUGAGUUAUAAAAGAGAGAAGUGAGCAGAGAGAUAUGGAGACUUUAUGCCACCAAGAAACAAAAGCCAGGAGCAGAGCGCAUCCUUUGGACCCAAGGUCCCUGCCCUGAGAAGCUCCUAGACCAGGGGAAGACUGGUGACAAGGACCUUUCCCCAAAGCCCACAGAGAGAGAAAGUCUUCCCCUGGAGCUGGCACCCUAAACUCAGACUUCUAGCCUCCUAGACUAUGAGAGAAUAAAUUUCUCUUUGUUAAAGCCAUCCACUUGUGAUAUUUCUGUUACAGCAGUACUAGAUAACUAAGACCUUUUGCUUACCAUUCUAGAAGAUGUGAAGUAACUAUAAAUCCAACACUAGAGUUAGAAUAUACCUAGCGAUGAAGAGUUGGGAGUGAAUAGAGAAAAAAAAGGCCUGUUUUUCCCAACUAUCACUCCCCAUAGAUGCAAGUUAGUUAGUUAGUUGGGAUAGUUAGGAGUAGCAAAAGAAAAAUAUAGGAACUUAAAAGCAAAUAACUUAAAAUUUUAUUGUGGCAAAAUAUAUAUAUAACAUAAAGUUUGCCAUUUUAACCAUUUUUAAGUGUAUAAUUCAGUGGCAUUAACUAUAUUCACAAUGGUAUGCAACCAUCACCAUUAUGUGUUCCCAAAACUUUUUCAUCACUCCAAACAGAAACUCUGUACCCAUUAAGCAAUAACUUCCCAUUACUCUCUCCUCCCAGUCCCUGGUAACCACUAAUCUACUUUGGUCUCUAUGUACUUGCCUUACCCACAGCCGAUGAGUCGAUUCCAAUUCAGAGCAACCCUAUAGGACAGAGUAGAACUACCCCAUAGGGUUUCCAAGGCUGUAAAUCUUUGUGGAAGCCUACUGCCACAUCUCUCUCCCGUGGAAUGACUGGUGGGUUCAAAUCACCGACGUUUCAGUUAGUAGCUGAGUGCUUUAACCACUGCACCACCAGAGAUCCCUAGUCUAGAUACUUAGUAUAAGUGGGAUCAUACAAUACUUGUCCUUUUGUGUCUGAUUUAUUUCACUUAACAGAAUGUUUUCAUGGUUCAUCCGUGUUGUAGCAUGUAUCAGAACUUCAUUCCUUUUUAAGGCUGAAUAUCAUUCCAUUGUAUGGAUAUACCAUAUUCUGUUUAUUCAUUCAUCUGUUGAUGGACAUGUAGGUUGUUUCCACCUUGGCCAUUUGGAAUAAUACUACAAUGAACAUUAGUGUACAAGUAUCUGUUUGAAUCUCUGGUUUCAAUACUUUUGGGUAUGUAUCUAGGAGUGGAAUUUCUACAUCAUAUGGUAAUUGUAUGUUUAACAUUUUGAGGAGUUGCCAAACUGUUUUCCAAAGUGGCUGUACCAUUUUACACUCCCAUCAGCAAUGCACAAGGGUUCCAAUUUCUCCACAUCCUCGCCAGUAUUCAUUAUUUUUCUAUAUAUAUAAUCACCAUGCUGGUGGGUGUUAAAGUGUUGAAAAGCAAAGAUGUCACCUUGAAGACUAAGGCAAUUCUGACCCAAGCCAUGGUAUUUUCAAUUUUCUCAUGCAUGUGAAAGCUGGACAAUGAAUAAGGAAGACUGAAGAACUAAUACCUUUGACUUGUGGUGUUGGCAAAGAAUAUUGAAUAUAUCGUGGACUGCCAAAAGAAUGAACAAUUCUGUCUUGGAAGAAGUAUGACCAGAGUGUUCCUUGGAAGCAAGAAUGGUGAGACUAUGUCUCACAUACUUUCGACAUCAUUAUUAGGAGGGAUCGAUCCCUGGAGAAGGACAUCAUGCUUGGUAAAGUAGAGGGUCAUCGAACAAGAGGAAGAUCCUCAAUGAGAUGGAUUGACACAGUGGCUGCAACAAUGGGCUCAAGCAUGCCAACAAUUGUGAGGAUGGAGCAGGACCAGGCAAUGUUUUGUUCUGUUGUAUACAGGGUCACUAAGAGAAGGAACCAACUCGACAGAACCUGACAAGAGCAGCAAAAAAAAAAAAAAAUCAGUUGCCACUGAGUCAAUUUCAACCCAUAGUGACCCUAUAGGACAGAGUACAGCUGCCCCCAUACAGUUUCCAGGAAAUGCCUGGUGGAUUCAAACUGCCAACUUUUUGGUUAGCAGGCGUAACUCUUAACCACUACGUCACCUGGGCUUCCUAACAAAAACAGUGGGU